ensembl:snRNA U6 U6 spliceosomal RNA
GUUUUUACUUCCACAGCACAUAUGAUAAAAUUAGAAUGAUACAGAGAAUAUUAUAUAUGAUCUCUGUGCAAGGAUUAUACACAAAUUAAUGAAGUGUUCAAUGUUUCA